UGUUUUCUUUAGGUUUUAACAAAAAAAAUCAGAAGUUAACUUUGUUUCCCCCUUCAGCAAAGGAAACAGUUUCCUUAGGGUUUCUUCAACCCCCAAUUACCGCCGCUCAGCCCUAUGCCAGAGCCCCGAUCACGAUGAAGCUGGCAACAACUGGGUGGUUUCGGCAGAAACAAAAGGUUCGGUGGCCGUUGAGUGCGCGCGACGCGAGCGGAGUGACAAGCGCGACGUGCGGGAUGUGCGGCGCCUGCGGGGGGGUGGUGUGGCGCUGGGGCUAAAGCUGCGGCACGAGUCUGCUGUAACGCCUAGGGUUUCUGCUAACCUUCUGGUGUUUUGGGCUAGCAGGCUUGGUUUUGGGUUAAUCAAUUGGGUUUUAGGUUUGUAAAUGGGUAAUUGGGUCAGGUUAAUUUUGGGCCUUAAUGUUUUACGGGCCCGGGCAGAGAAAUUGGUAUUACAAUGGGUAUAUUAAAAUGUAUAUAAUCCUAAUCUAAUAGACAAGUGCUGCAUGUAAAGAAAAGAGAAUAAAAAUUUGAAGACUAAUUAUUAUGCAA